UCCUCUCGGUCUGUAUCUCCUCGUUCGGAACCCUAACAGCUGUCCCUUCGAUGCGUGUUUGAUAAAUCGAUCAAAAUCAACGAGAUCUGAUCGUUCUAUCAGCUCUUUCUUCGGGCGGCGUCUACUGAUAUCCGUAUCCAUCUUCGGAACCCUACCAUGGUUUCAAGGUUCCUCUUUCUCUCUCUCUAUGUCUCUCUGUAGCGCAUCGUAGCCCGCAUUGCCCGAACUUUCUCCUUGCUGUGUGGAUUUGAAUACAGGUUUUGUCAGUAGCGAUUCGAAAUGUGGUAGAUUUCUUGCUUCGCUGAGAAAUUAAAACAAAAAAUUUUGGAGUUAAGGUUGUAGUUUAUACAAGUAUUUUUACUAUUUCUGCGUCGGUUUUUAGUUCUUUCAUCGACCUUCGCUGUUCGCUUGUGUGCGGGAUAGCAACGACAAUAUGAAUAUGCGGAAUUGGGAAUUUUAUGAAUCCCCAACGCCCCUCAGUAGCCACCUUGGUCUGCAACUGAUGUCCAGUGGGGUGGAGAAACCUCUCCGCAACCAUCCCACCCUCAUGCCCACCGCUAAUGGGGCGACAUUUCACCAGAUGCCUGCCAAUGCCGGUCCGUUUCAGCACAGGGUGGGUGGUGUUUCAGAGUCUCCCAUGCCUUUGGACUUUGUGAGAGAAGCUUGGAUCAACCAUAGGGAAAAGUACUUCAACUCUCUGCCUGGAAAUAACCAUCAUCCCAAUUUUUCUGUACUACCUGAGACCUCUGGAGGCCAUCACAUCCAGAUGCUCCACCCAAAUGAUUCGCCAAAGGAUGAAACUGUUGGCCAAAUGGAAGAGACUGAAAGGGAGAGUGGUGUUCCUCCAAAGAAGCGGUCAGGCAGUAAAACCCAGAAAUCCCCAAAGCCAAAGAAGGCCAGGAAAGCCCCUGCGGUUCCAAGAGAUGAGUGCAGCAGCAUGUCAGUGCAGCGGGCAAGGGCUCCCAAAAAAAGCAUGGAAAUCGUCAUCAAUGGAAUUAACAUGGAUAUUUCAGUCAUCCCAAUACCAGUUUGUUCAUGCACUGGAACUCCUCAGCAAUGUUAUCGGUGGGGCUCUGGUGGGUGGCAGUCUGCAUGUUGUACCACCAGCAUGUCUCUGUAUCCCCUGCCAAUGAGUACAAAGAGGCGUGGUGCGAGGAUAGCAGGGCGGAAGAUGAGUUUGGGAGCAUUCAAGAAGGUAUUGGAGAAGCUUGCAUCUGAAGGGUAUAACUUCUCUAAUCCCAUUGAUCUGAGGACCCACUGGGCAAAACAUGGCACCAACAAGUUUGUUACAAUCAGGCAAGGUCUGUAGUGAAAACUGGCUGGGAACCUGCUUGUGAAUGGAGAUGGAAAGCCUGAAAAGGCUAUAUGGUAAAAAGAUGGGGCUCCUGGAGCAUAUAUAACACAGUUCUUUUUUCAAUAAAUGGCAGACAAAUGCUUGGCGCCCCUCUCUGCUCUAAAGUCCAAAAUUUCUGGUGCCAAAAUGUUGUGAAUCUGAAGGCUUCUGUUUUCUGUAUUGAAACCACAACUUCCAUUCAUUUUACCGCGCAAAACAAAAGAAACCGUAACCUUCUGGCACCAGUUACUUGGAGUGGAGAGCUGACAACAGGUAGUUAGAUGCAUGGUACGAAAUAAGGUACGCGCAGCAUAGUGCACACCAACCUUGACCAAAGCUAGGAAUGGGAUGUGGUUGCUAUUUUGACCAGUUAAACGCACACUCUAGCUCUUGCUCAAUGAAAUACUAUUUAUCAUAUUUUGGUGGUAUCUAUGUUCUGGAAGGACGGCGAUCCUACUUAGUAUCGCUUCAGUUGAUUCUUUGUGAUCGAAAAGUGGGAGGAGGUUUGAGUUGGAGACAACGUCUUUGCAAAAUAAGAGUUGAGGGUUAGCCACAAAGAUUUUGGAGUUUUUUCAUGGAGGUAUUUAAUAUUGAAAAUGUUAUUCGGACGUUAA